rnacentral:rRNA from 1 species
AUUGAACGCUAGCGGGAUGCCUUACACAUGCAAGUCGAACGGAGUGGCGAACGGGUGAGUAAUGUAUCGGAACGUGCCCAGUAGCGGGGGAUAACUACGCGAAAGCGUAGCUAAUACCGCAUACUAUUGGAACGGCCGAUAUCGGAUUAGCCAGUUGGGGGGGUAACGGCUCACCAAGGCGACGAUCCGUAGCUGGUUGGAGAGGACGACCAGCCACCAUGGGACUGAGGAACGGCCCAGACGCCUCCGGGGGGCGGCAGUAGGGAAUUUUGGACAAUGGGGGAAACCCUGAUCCAGCAAUCCCGCGUGGGCGAUGAAGGCCGUCGGGUUGUAAAGCACUUUUGGCAGGAAAGCGGUACCUGCAGAAGAAGCACCGGCUAACUACGUGCCAGCAGCCGCCGCGGUAAUUC